rnacentral:rRNA from 1 species
CCUACGGGUGGCUGCAGUGGGGAAUAUUGGACAAUGGGCGAAAGCCUGAUCCAGCCAUGCCGCGUGUGUGAAGAAGGCCUUCGGGUUGUAAAGCACUUUCAGUGGGGAAGAAAGCCUUGGGGCUAAUACCCUCGAGGAAGGACAUCACCCACAGAAGAAGCACCGGCUAACUCCGUGCCAGCAGCCGCGGUAAUACGGAGGGUGCGAGCGUUAAUCGGAAUUACUGGGCGUAAAGCGCGCGUAGGCGGUCUGAUAAGCCGGUUGUGAAAGCCCCGGGCUCAACCUGGGAACGGCAUCCGGAACUGUCAGGCUAGAGUGCAGGAGAGGAAGGUAGAAUUCCCGGUGUAGCGGUGAAAUGCGUAGAGAUUGGGAGGAAUACCAGUGGCGAAGGCGGCCUUCUGGACUGACACUGACGCUGAGGUGCGAAAGCGUGGGUAGCAAACAGGAUUAGAUACCCCAGUAGUC